GACAGAGGGUGCAACCGUUGUUCGGAAUUACUGGGCGUAAAGCGCGUGUAGGCGGCAACGCAAGUCGGAUGUGAAAUCCCAUGGCUCAACCAUGGAAGUGCACCCGAAACUGCGUAGCUAGAGUCUCGGAGAGGAAGGUGGAAUGCUUGGUGUAGAGGUGAAAUUCGUAGAUAUCAAGCGGAACACCGGUGGCGAAGGCGGCCUUCUGGACGAUGACUGACGCUGAGACGCGAAAGCGUGGGGAGCAAACAGG
rnacentral:rRNA from 1 species